UGUGUGUGUAUACGUGUGUAUUUAAAAAGUCCAAGAUUGAGGAGGGGCUGGACCCAGAAGAGAUGGGCUUGCAAACCUCCCCCCAAGACUCCGGGCCUGCAGCUGCUAUGCUCGAGUGCAGACAGACAAUCGGACGGGGACGUGACUCUCAACUUCUGACUCAGGAACACGGGAGCUGCAGCCAUGGGUGAUCAGGCGAGGUGAGGGGUGGCGACUGUGGCUUGAACUGUGGCCUGAGAACCUGAACCACCGCCCUGCACGGACCCAGCCCCACCCCAGGCUUCAGGCCACACCUCUGCGACUGCCUGUGACCCUUGCCGAGGAAGCCUUCUCCAUGAUUUUCUGAUGGCCCGUAUACACAGGCCCAAAACUGCCCAGGUGAAGCCCACCUUGGGCAUGUCUCACCCGUAGAGGGGCUGAUGUGGGACAGGAAGGACACAGAAGAAGUAUCUCAGUGCCCCUGUGGACGCCCCCAACGGACCAGUGUCCCACUUCUCACCACCAUCCCGUUCUGAUCCCUGCCACCCUCCGCAUGCC